GGGGUUGUGGCUCAGUGGUAGAGUGCUUGCCUAGCAUGCAUGAGGCACGGGGUUCAAUCCCUAGCACCA
rfam:Ictidomys tridecemlineatus contig099397, whole genome shotgun sequence.